rnacentral:lncRNA from 1 species
CUCAUGCUGUAAAUUACACUGUACGUAUAAUCUUGAUAAAAAAACUUUCACGACAUAUGGCGCCGGACAAAUGGUUCAUUUGGUGCCGGAAAAAAUUUUGCGGACAUAAAAUCGUUUAUUUUUUUCCGACAAUUUUCUUAAUUUUUUGAGAUUUUUAGAUGUAUCAUCUGGGUCCUGGAAUUUAUAUUCUGAGUUCAUCAAUCUUGCAUCAAUAAAUUUUAAGGAUCCCUUGUUCUGCGAGCCCCGCCCGAGAUAAAGUUCCCCUCUGCCUCUCUCUCGGCGAUCCUGCAUGCAGUAUAGAUGUAAAUUGAUAACGAAAGAUUCAAUAUAUAUACAAUUUUAAACUUAACUACAGGAGCAGCUGCGAAAAUGCUGUCAUCUGACAGGAAUCGAACAUGUGGGUAAAGAUAAAGAUUUUUGGGAAUAUGACGCUGGAAAUCUCAAUUUGCGCUUGGUAUUUUUCUUGAAAUUUGUGCUUGAAAUUUCCAUCCUACAUAAAUCCUUCAAUCUGUUGGUAAAAUAAAAGUUUGAAAAUAAAAGUUUGAAAAUAAAAGUUUGAAAAUAAAAGUUUGAAAGUAAAAGUUUGAAAAUAAAAGU